AAAUUGAAGAGUUUGAUCAUGGCUCAGAUUGAACGCUGGCGGCAGGCCUAACACAUGCAAGUCGAACGGUAACAGGAAGCAGCUUGCUGCUUCGCUGACGAGUGGCGGACGGGUGAGUAAUGUCUGGGAAACUGCCUGAUGGAGGGGGAUAACUACUGGAAACGGUGGCUAAUACCGCAUAACGUCGCAAGACCAAAGAGGGGGACCUUCGGGCCUCUUGCCAUCAGAUGUGCCCAGAUGGGAUUAGCUUGUUGGUGAGGUAACGGCUCACCAAGGCGACGAUCCCUAGCUGGUCUGAGAGGAUGACCAGCCACACUGGAACUGAGACACGGUCCAGACUCCUACGGGAGGCAGCAGUGGGGAAUAUUGCACAAUGGGCGCAAGCCUGAUGCAGCCAUGCCGCGUGUAUGAAGAAGGCCUUCGGGUUGUAAAGUACUUUCAGCGGGGAGGAAGGUGUUGUGGUUAAUAACCGCAGCAAUUGACGUUACCCGCAGAAGAAGCACCGGCUAACUCCGUGCCAGCAGCCGCGGUAAUACGGAGGGUGCAAGCGUUAAUCGGAAUUACUGGGCGUAAAGCGCACGCAGGCGGUCUGUCAAGUCGGAUGUGAAAUCCCCGGGCUCAACCUGGGAACUGCAUUCGAAACUGGCAGGCUUGAGUCUUGUAGAGGGGGGUAGAAUUCCAGGUGUAGCGGUGAAAUGCGUAGAGAUCUGGAGGAAUACCGGUGGCGAAGGCGGCCCCCUGGACAAAGACUGACGCUCAGGUGCGAAAGCGUGGGGAGCAAACAGGAUUAGAUACCCUGGUAGUCCACGCCGUAAACGAUGUCUACUUGGAGGUUGUGCCCUUGAGGCGUGGCUUCCGGAGCUAACGCGUUAAGUAGACCGCCUGGGGAGUACGGCCGCAAGGUUAAAACUCAAAUGAAUUGACGGGGGCCCGCACAAGCGGUGGAGCAUGUGGUUUAAUUCGAUGCAACGCGAAGAACCUUACCUGGUCUUGACAUCCACAGAACUUUCCAGAGAUGGAUUGGUGCCUUCGGGAACUGUGAGACAGGUGCUGCAUGGCUGUCGUCAGCUCGUGUUGUGAAAUGUUGGGUUAAGUCCCGCAACGAGCGCAACCCUUAUCCUUUGUUGCCAGCGGUUAGGCCGGGAACUCAAAGGAGACUGCCAGUGAUAAACUGGAGGAAGGUGGGGAUGACGUCAAGUCAUCAUGGCCCUUACGACCAGGGCUACACACGUGCUACAAUGGCGCAUACAAAGAGAAGCGACCUCGCGAGAGCAAGCGGACCUCAUAAAGUGCGUCGUAGUCCGGAUUGGAGUCUGCAACUCGACUCCAUGAAGUCGGAAUCGCUAGUAAUCGUGGAUCAGAAUGCCACGGUGAAUACGUUCCCGGGCCUUGUACACACCGCCCGUCACACCAUGGGAGUGGGUUGCAAAAGAAGUAGGUAGCUUAACCUUCGGGAGGGCGCUUACCACUUUGUGAUUCAUGACUGGGGUGAAGUCGUAACAAGGUAACCGUAGGGGAACCUGCGGUUGGAUCACCUCCUUA
rnacentral:rRNA from 16 species